AUGGACACUGCCCAUCCUUCUUCUGGCUGGCGCCAGGACAGCGAGGUAGUUCAUGCAUUUGAGAUUGGCAGCACCAUAGACCCGGCGCUUCCCCAAUUGCCAUCGCAUGAGUUCGACGGCGACCAAGGCCCAACUCUUCCGCUGACCUUUGAGAAGCUCCACACAAGCCUGCCUGUGAUCAGCUUGCAUGACGACGGCAAAGACGUCGUCUACUUCAUGACCAAGGUCCAUUCUUAUCAUAAGGCCGCAUUGGUGAUUGCGGUUGACAUGUCCAACAAGACAGCACAACAAGUCACACAGUUCCUCCCAGGGAAAUUUAUGGAGCGCGCCUUUGUACACAGCAGGAUCUCCAAAUAUCUCAGUAUGGCUCCAACUCCAGCUCCAGCUCCUUCGGCAGUCCUGGAGCUUUUCUGGUGA
rnacentral:rRNA from 1 species